rnacentral:rRNA from 1 species
CAGUAUUCUGACUGUGCUAAGGUAGCAUAAUCAUUAGUCUUUUAAUUGAAGGCUGGUAUGAAUGACGAGACGAGAAAAUAGCUGUCUCUAAGAUAUAUCUUGAAUUUUAUUUCUAAGUGAAAAAGCUUAGAUAAUUUUAAAGGACGAUCAGACCCUAUGGAGCUUUAUUUAUUUUAAGUUUAAAUUUAUUUUAAAUUAUUGAAUGAAAAAUAAAUUUUGUUGGGGCGACAAAGAGUAAAAAAUAUCACUCUUUUUUAAAAACAAUUAUAUUUGGAGUAUUGAUCCUUAAAGUAAGAUUAAAAGACUAAGUUACCCUAGGGAUAACAGCGUAAUCUUUUUGGAGAGUUCAAAUCGAUAAAAAGGUUUGCGACCUCGAUGUUGGAUUAAGAGAUUAGCAAGGUGCAGAAGUUUUGCUGGAAAGUCUGUUCGACUUUUAAUCUCUUACAUG